rnacentral:rRNA from 1 species
UACCAGCACCCCGAGUGGUCGGGACGAUUAUUGGGCCUAAAGCAUCCGUAGCCGGUCAUGCAAGUCCUCCGUUAAAUCCACCUGCUUAACAGAUGGGCUGCGGAGGAUACUAUAAGACUAGGAGGCAGGAGAGGCAAGCGGUACUCAGUGGGUAGGGGUAAAAUCCGUUGAUCCAUUGAAGACCACCAGUGGCGAAGGCGGCUUGCCAGAAUGCGCUCGACGGUGAGGGAUGAAAGCUGGGGGAGCAAACCGG